UUUUUGUGCGCGGCUAGCUAAUUUAACACUCUAUUUUCUUGCCUCAUGCAUGCUUAUAAAACGUUCAGUUUUGAGUGCAGAUAGCCUGUGUUUGAUCCUAUAUGGUAGAGAGAGAAUCUCUUAAGCUUUCCCGACUUGAAACUAAUUUUCUUGUACAUGUUCACGUUCCAGCUUGUGCCUCCAGUGUGGACAGCUUGCACGGGAGAAGGCGAAGCGCAGGAGAAGGCGAAAGAGUCUGCGUUAGAAUCACUAGCACUUCUUGAGAAGCAGAUCGAAGGGAAGAAGUUUUUCGGCGGAGAACAAAUAGGGUAUCUAGAUUUAGUAUUGGGGUGGAUAUCUUACUGGAUAAGUGGUGUGGAAGAAGCUGGAGGCAACAAGGUACUUGAAGCAGAGAUGUUUCCAUCUCUCCACCAAUGGGGUCAGAACUUCAUCCACAAUCCACUCAUUGAAGAAUGCAUUCCGGCUAGAGAGGCGUUUGUCGCCUACGUCCAAUAUGCCAUCAAUUGUAAGAUAUUUCUGAAAUCAUAAGAACAACAACAAGAGAUUAGGAUCACAGAUUUGAUAAACCAAAAUUACAAUAAAUCAAUUACAAUUUACUUAUCUUUGGAAUACGGAAGACAUAGCUCUUGCGGAUGACAAAGGAGUCUUCUACUUUCAACAAGCAGAAGUGUUCCAGCAAUAAUAGGGUUUGCUCGGAAUGGAACGUGUAUUUUGUGAAAGCAGGGACACCCUUAAUAUAGUGAUUAGGGUUCUCCUAAUUCCGCCUAUUAUAGUAAUUAGAGGAAUACACCAAAUCACCAUUUAUUCUUAAUGUUGUCCCACCAAGGCAUGUACAAUAUGUCUUACUUAAUUAGGGUUUCAAUUAGUCAACUAAAUAUAUCUUGGUUCCAUGAUUCUUGCCAACCAAUAUUGAAUCACAUUAAAAGCCAAAUAUCUUGAAGAUCAAGUUAUUUGUCUUUCAAGUAAUUCGAUUCAUAAUAAUUGACAACUCAACAUGAGUCUUACAUCAAUUACAUUCGUUCCAUAU
rnacentral:lncRNA from 1 species